CUGGCUCAGGAUGAACGCUGGCGGCGUGCCUAACACAUGCAAGUCGAACGGAGAAUUUACGCUGAUGAAGCUUCGGCAGAUUCUUGUAAAUUCUUAGUGGCGGACGGGUGAGUAACGCGUGGGCAACCUGCCUCAUACUGGGGGAUAACAGCUGGAAACGACUGUUAAUACCGCAUAAGCG
rnacentral:rRNA from 1 species